rnacentral:rRNA from 1 species
AUUGAACGCUGGCGGAAUGCUUUACACAUGCAAGUCGAACGGCAGCACGGACUUCGGUCUGGUGGCGAGUGGCGAACGGGUGAGUAAUGUAUCGGAACGUGCCCAGUCGUGGGGGAUAACGUAGUGAAAAUUACGCUAAUACCGCAUACGAUCUAUGGAUGAAAGCGGGGGAUCGCAAGACCUUGCGCGAUUGGAGCGGCCGAUAUCAGAUUAGGUAGUUGGUGGGGUAAAGGCCCACCAAACCAACGAUCUGUAGCUGGUCUGAGAGGACGACCAGCCACACUGGAACUAAGACACGGUCCAGACUCCUACGGGAGGCAGCAGUGGGGAAUUUUGGACAAUGGGCGAAAGCCUGAUCCAGCCAUUCCGCGUGCAGGAUGAAGGCCCUCGGGUUGUAAACUGCUUUUGUACAGAACGAAAAGGUUUCUACUAAUACUAGGAGCUCAUGACGGUACUGUAAGAAUAAGCACCGGCUAACUACGUGCCAGCCGCCGCCGUAA